GAGUCAGUGAGAGCAUUUCCAUAGAGAGCCACUUUGCAUCAGCAGCACCAUGCUCCAGUGCUCUGGGAGAGUUUAUAGUCCUGACAGUUGAACACUGGAUGACUGACAGCUGUCCUUCAUCACAACAGAAGCCACAGAAAUCGUCCUCAUCAAAAACAUGACUUUGAUCUGCGUCCUCAUCUGGACUCUCCUCUGCUGCUGCUUCACAGAGUCCAGAGGACAGAUCACAGUGACUCAGCCUGGAGCAGUGAGCUCUGCUGUGGGACGAUCUGUGAACAUCAACUGUAGGACCAGUCAGGAUGUAGCAGGCUCCAACUAUUUAUCCUGGUACCAACAGAAAGAUGGAGAACCACUCAAACUGCUCAUUUACACUGCUAGCAGCAGAGAUUCAGGGAUUCCAGCUCGUUUUACAGGCAGUGGAUCAAACUCUGUCUUCACUCUGACCAUCAGUGGAGUCCAGGCUGAAGAUGCAGCAGUUUAUUACUGUCAGAGUUUUCACUAUAUCAACAGUCAAGAUGUGUUCACACAGUGA